rnacentral:ncRNA from 1 species
ACCAUUCUUUUCUUGGGGUAGCGCUACUGUCCAAUGAAUGAGUAGUGAGGGCAGUACUGCUAAUACCUGCACAACACGCCAGAGUAAAAAAUAAAUAAAUAA